rnacentral:rRNA from 1 species
GGGAUUUUGGAAUUGAAACUCCAACCCCUGUGAACAUAACCUCUGUCGUUGCUUCGGCGGGCACGCCCGCCGGAGGUUCAAAACUCUUAUUUUUUCCAGUAUCUCUGAGCCUGAAAGACAAAUAAUCAAAACUUUCAACAACGGAUCUCUUGGUUCUGGCAUCGAUGAAGAACGCAGCGAAAUGCGAUAAGUAAUGUGAAUUGCAGAAUUCAGUGAAUCAUCGAAUCUUUGAACGCACAUUGCGCCCGCCGGUAUUCCGGCGGGCAUGCCUGUUCGAGCGUCAUUUCAACCCUCAAGCCUCGGCUUGGUGUUGGGGCGCCCGGGCCCUCCGCGGCCCGGGGCCCCCAAGUUCAUCGGCGGGCUCUUCGGUACACUGAGCGCAUUAAAACGCGAUAAAACGAAAACCUCGUUCGGAUCGUCCCGGCGUGCUCCAACCCCUAAACCCCCAAUUUUUGACAGGUUGACCUCGGAUCAGGUAGGAAUACCUGCUGAUCUUCAUCAUCCUACUGGCCAUAGGAACUGCUU